CGAUUAUGCCUCACGUCCCAACAAAUACAAGAACCGAUUACACAACGUAGUCGUUCAUUCGUGCCACCCAUAUCGAGCCAACUGCCAUCCAAAUUGAAAAGUGCAGCGAAACUACCAUCGUUUCGACUUGAAAGACCUCUACAAGUGUCAAAUAAUGAUUGAAGAAAAGAUGAGAGAAUAUAAGUAGUAUUAGCCAGAAGACCGUCGACCAAUCAGAAGCCUUUGGCAGGCUACGCUUUACACAUUCACGAAUACUAGUGUACGGCGGCUCUGCAUUAGCCACAUCGUCGCGUCUUGAAGUUGCACCAUAGACACUUUUGCCAGACAAAUCGACAUCUUGAGUAGACCCAGGCUGCAGACAAUAAUAAUCAUUACCUUGAGAGGUUCCACUCUGUCUAUACAACUUACGAUGAUGCACACAUUUUUGAGAGCUGACAACUUUGCAAUUUUUGGAAGGAGAAAAUGGUCUGUGCCGUCUCGGAGAGACCAACACUUGCUAUGUAACGGCAUUUUAAUUCCAACUUUCGUCACGAAAGUAUCGUUCCCUCUACGUUUGCUGUUAUUUUUGUGUUAUUUAUUGUAGGUUUGCAUUUCUUUAUAAUUUAUCUGUAUU